GUGGCAGCCGUAUGCCACAAUCCGCAUUCGCCUUCCGCCCAAGAAGCGCACCUACUGCAACCGACUGCAAGUGCCGCAAGUGCCUCACGCCUGCCAGCGCUGCUUCUGCCGCCUGCUCCUUCAGUCUCCAGCCGACUGCGUCUCCGUGCGGUUCUAGUCGUCGUCCAGCCACAACACGGGUCUGCCCCUAGUUUGCCGUUAGUUCUCGCCUCUGCCCGGCUUCCUGCUGCCGCCGUUAUCCUUGCUCGCGUUUCAGUUGCGCGCGCGUGCCUCUCCAGCCUCCAGCCAGUGCGAUCAGUGGCAGCAAACCGAUAUCGAAAUCCAAAACAGUGUGUGACAAAUCCGAGAAUCCAAAAGCGGAAAAACUGACCUUUCCCCGUGGUGGACUUUGCAGUGCGUGAGCAGCUUCGCUUUUUGUGUGCAGCGCGGGUCUUGGGCCCCCAGGACGAAGUGCAGAAGUGCAGGACAGAAAAUAAAAAAACUUAACAACAGAAAAAGCUUGCAGCCUGGCCUUGCCUCGUCGCUCCUUCAAUCUAGCAGGUACGUUCGCUUCGCUGAUUUGUCGCCAAAUGAGGAGAGGAGGACCCUGGCCAAAACAAAUGUCACGUGAGCCACACACACACACAGAACACUUGUUUCCGCUUACACCUCGCCACGAGUUUUUCUUUUGCUGAUUUGGCAACCAUUUUUUUAUUUUGUUUGCGCCAUGAAGGAGGCGAAAGGGAAGGGUAUCCAGGGCAUGGCGUCCUGCUUGGUUACUUUUUUUUUGCUGAACCCGAUCCGUGAUUUUGAAGGCCGAAAUCACGUAAGCC
rnacentral:sRNA from 1 species